UACGAAGGGGGCUAGCGUUGCUCGGAAUUACUGGGCGUAAAGGGAGCGUAGGCGGAUAGUUUAGUCGAGAAGGUGAAAGCCCCGGGCUCAACCUGGGAACUGCAUUUGAGACUGGAGAGCUUGAGGUUCGGGAGAGGAUGGUGGAAUUCCCAGUGUAGAAGGUGAAAUUCGUAGAUAUUGGGAAGAACACCGGGUGGCGAAGGCGGCCAAUCUGGA
rnacentral:rRNA from 1 species